GAUGAACGCUGGCGGCGUGCCUAAUACAUGCAAGUCGAGCGAACAGACGAGGAGCUUGCUCCGCUGACGUUAGCGGCGGACGGGUGAGUAACACGUGGAUAACCUACCUAUAAGACUGGGAUAACUUCGGGAAACCGGAGCUAAUACCGGAUAACAUGUUGAACCGCAUGGUGCAAUAGUGAAAGACGGUUUUGCUGGCACGUAUAGAUGGAUCCGCGCCGCAUUAGCGAGUUGGUAAGGUAACGGCUUACCAAGGCAACGAUGCGUAGCCGACCUGAGGGGGUGAUAGGCCACACGGGAACUGAGCCACGGUCCAGACUCCUACGGGAGGCAGCAGUAGGGAAUCUUCCGCAAUGGGCGAAAGCCUGACGGAGCAACGCCGCGUGAGUGAAGACGGUCUUCGGAUCGUAAAACUCUGUUAUGAGGGAAGAACAAAUGUGUAAGUAACUAUGCACGUCUUGACGGUACCUAAUCAGAAAGCCCCGGCUAACUACGUG
rnacentral:rRNA from 1 species